UUUUUUUUUUUUUUUUUUUUUUUUUUAAAGGAAAAAGUCAGUAAACAGAUUAUACUACUAGUACGUAACUGUUCCAGGAAGCCCUAACUGUUCCAGGAGAGCCCUUCGUGUUCUAUCAUCAUGAUUUCGAUAGGAU
rnacentral:ribozyme from 16 species